rnacentral:rRNA from 1 species
CCUACGGGCGGCAGCAGUGAGGAAUAUUGGUCAAUGGCCGUAAGGCUGAACCAGCCAAGUAGCGUGAGGGAAGACUGCCCUAUGGGUUGUAAACCUCUUUUAUGCGGGGAUAAAGGUGUCCACGUGUGGCUGUUUGCAGGUACCGCAUGAAUAAGGACCGGCUAAUUCCGUGCCAGCAGCCGCGGUAAUACGGAAGGUCCGGGCGUUAUCCGGAUUUAUUGGGUUUAAAGGGAGCGUAGGCGGGUCUUUAAGCGUGCCGUGAAAUUUUGUGGCUCAACCAUGAGAUUGCGGCGCGAACUGGAGACCUUGAGUGCGCGGAAGGCAGGCGGAAUUCGUGGUGUAGCGGUGAAAUGCUUAGAUAUCACGAAGAACCCCGAUUGCGAAGGCAGCCUGCCGCAGCGUUACUGACGCUGAAGCUCGAAAGCGUGGGUAUCGAACAGGAUUAGAUACCCCAGUAGGC